rnacentral:tRNA from 1 species
GGGGCGUUAGCUUAGUUGGGAGAGCGCCUGCCUUGCACGCAGGAGGUCAGGGGUUCGACCCCCCUACGCUCCACCA